UACCACCUGACUCCAUUCCGAACUCAGUAGUGAAACGUAAUAACGCCGAUGGUAGUGUGGGGUUUCCCCAUGUGAGAGUAGGGCAUCGCCAAGC
rnacentral:rRNA from 1 species